rnacentral:rRNA from 1 species
CUACGGGUCGCAGCAGUGGGGAAUAUUGCACAAUGGGCGCAAGCCUGAUGCAGCCAUGCCGCGUGUAUGAAGAAGGCCUUCGGGUUGUAAAGUACUUUCAGCGGGGAGGAAGGGAGUAAAGUUAAUACCUUUGCUCAUUGACGUUACCCGCAGAAGAAGCACCGGCUAACUCCGUGCCAGCAGCCGCGGUAAUACGGAGGGUGCAAGCGUUAAUCGGAAUUACUGGGCGUAAAGCGCACGCAGGCGGUUUGUUAAGUCAGAUGUGAAAUCCCCGGGCUCAACCUGGGAACUGCAUCUGAUACUGGCAAGCUUGAGUCUCGUAGAGGGGGGUAGAAUUCCAGGUGUAGCGGUGCAAUGCGUAGAGAUCUGGAGGAAUACCGGUGGCGAAGGCGGCCCCUGGACGAAGACUGACGCUCAGGUGCGAAAGCGUGGGGAGCAAACAGGAUUAGAUACCCCGGUAGUC